UCUUUAUAUAUUAAAAGUGCCUAUUUAACGACAUUUCUUGGUUUCUUGGUUUAACAGAAUAUACCUUAAAAAUAAAAGAAUAUUCUGUUAAAUUUAACGAUGUUAAUACGUUAACAAAUAAACCCAAAAAAUUAAACAAUCUUUUUUUAAAUUAAAAAAAAUCAUAUUAAAAAAAUCAUCUUAUCUCUCUAACAAACCUGUUAAAUUUAACCCCAAAAAACCAUCCACGUUAACUUUAAAAAAUAAUAAAUAAAUAAAAGAAUACUAGACCUCUACUUUGUCACUCUCCAUCCUAUUUUCUCGCAAAGACAGUUUGAUUUAUCUAUGCAGAGACGGAGCCAAAGAGAAUGAAACCCUAGAAAUGGUUUUGGAAUCAAAUGUCAAAUGGGAAAAUAUGGAACUUAUUUGAAAAAGAAGAAGUCGAAGAGGAUGUAUGCAGAGACGGAGCCAAAGAGAAUGAAACCCUAGAAAUGGUUUUGGAAUCAAAUGUCAAAUGGAAAAAUAUGGAAGAAGUCGAAGAGGAUGAACUAGCAGAAGAAGGAUAAGAAGUUCAAAAGGUUAAUAGUAAAAGAGAAAAACACAUUCCUAUUUAGCUUUUUCAGUUGUGGACACAUUUGGGCUCACUCCUUAGAGAUCUCCUCUCAAUUCCCUCUUGCAGAUUUGUGGAUGAAGUUCAAAGGUUUCGACUUUAGCGGCCCCGUUUGUGACAUUUUUUUUCAAGGAACCUCCAUCAAAAUUGCAGAUUAUGGGCAUAGUUCAACUCAAUUGCGUAUAAACUAUGGAAUUGUUGAUGAGGCUAAUUCUCAUGACUGCUUGGUGAUUGAGAGAUGGCCAGGAAUUUCAGUCAUAUAUUCUUCAGAACAGGAUACACACCAACUGACUACCAAUCAGAAUCGGAAUUAAGAGUUAGCCUACUGAUGGAGCAAUCAUUUGCUGUCAAGUGUCCAUCAAUAUCUUAUCAUUUAGUAGGUACCAAGAAAAUGGCGCAAGAAGUAACAAAACUCAACGUGCUUGUAUGAUACAUAGCUCUAAUUUAUCAUUAAUAAGAGUGGGUUACCCUGAUUGAAAUUGUAGCCUUCAAUCUUAGAGCUAGCAUUUUCUCCUUUAACUUGAUUCAGGCAUGACAGAUGAUUUAUCCUGCGCAUCGCAUUCCUGGUUUGAACACUCUCUUGGUGUGUAUUGGCUUGCUGAGAAAUAUGUUCUAAAGCUAAUAAAUUAUCAGGUUUUUCUUGCUUUA